rnacentral:ncRNA from 1 species
GAGUAACAUUCCGCCCGAUAUUUUUUCUAUGAGGACAAACACUUUGGACAGUCACAGUCGAUACUGGUUUUAUAUUUUUAACUAAUCUUUUCGCCUCAUAGCCUUUGCUUAUCGGCGAAAAGCCGG